rnacentral:rRNA from 1 species
UGCGUAACGCGUAUGCAAUCUACCUUAUACAGGGGAAUAGCCCAGGGAAACUUGGAUUAAUGCCCCAUAGUAUCAUUAAGUAGCAUUACUUGAUGAUUAAAGAUUUAUCGGUAUAAGAUGAGCAUGCGUCCCAUUAGUUAGUUGGUAAGGUAACGGCUUACCAAGGCUACGAUGUUUAGGGGGCCUGAGAGGGUUAUCCCCCACACUGGUACUGAGACACGGACCAGACUCC